GGUUGCGAUCAUACCAGCACUAAUGCACCGGAUCCCAUCAGAACUCCGCAGUUAAGCGUGUUUGGGCGAGAGUAGUACUAGGAUGGGUGACCCCCUGGGAAGUCCUCGUGUUUCAACCC
rnacentral:rRNA from 1 species